rnacentral:lncRNA from 10 species
GGAAGAGUCGCCAAGGAAACUGUGAGGAAACCAGUGACUCAUGAGAAAUGCAAGAGAGUGAACUGUUCUGGAAGCCAAUGAGCAAAGGGCCUUGAUAAAGAAAUAAUCAACUGUCAAAUUUGGCUAAGUCAAGUACGACCUGAGAAUUUAUCAUUAAAUUUGGCAUCUUGGAAACCUGAAAAACCUCAUGUAUCAGUUUAGGUUGAACCCAUGGAGAAGCAAAACCAGUAGAAGAUACCUGUUAAGAGAUUUACUGCAUGGAACUGGCUUAUGUGAUUAUGGGGGAAUAAGUGGAUAAGUCCAAAUUCCAUAGGCAUUAGGAAGGACAGGCUGGGACUCUCAGGCUUCUGUUCACAGGCAGAUUGUUUUUUUCUCCAGAGAAUCCUCAGCUCUGCUCUUAAGAACUUCAGCUGAUUGGAUGAGGUCCACCAGUUUAUCUAAAAUAUCUCCCUUGCUUAAAGUCAAUUGAUAAUAGACUUUAAUAACAGCUGCAAAAUAUCUUCACAGCAGCACCUAAAUUACUGUUUGAAUAAAAUUUCCUAACCAAGUUGACACAUCAAAGACCAUCACACCUCAACAAGACCAACUUGGGUGGGUCCCAGUUGAAGUGGGCUCAAGAGAAUGGGAAGAAAACAUGGAGAUAGUGCUUGUAGACAGUCAUUUCAAAGAGCCAUGCUAUGAAAAGAAGCAGAGAAAUGAAUCGGUGACUGGAAGGUAAUUGGAUCAUGGUUUAAAUGGCUGAGGUAGAAUUUAAGAGAAGACCAUUAGUAGGGAGGAGCUUGAGGGACUGGAAUUGGUGAGAUUAGAAAGCCACAGCUAUGGAUAGUGAAACCACCAAGAGGAGGAAGAGGAGGAGGAACAUUACAGAGAGUGAUCUUGAGUCGAUAGCUAACAUAUUCAGAGAAUGAGGCGUCACUCAUUGUUGGGAUGGGAGUAACAGUACAUGGUUGCAUGAGAAAGAGUAGUGGAGUUACAGUCCGAUAACAUCAGAUAUGAAGCUGAGAGAGAAGGGGCUGUCUUGGGGGGAAAAAUAAGACAGUAGUCUGGGAGAACAACAAUGAAGAUUAAAGGAGACACACACCCUUCAGACACAGUGGCACUAAAGUUUGGGAGUUUACAGCUCCCUCUUGAAAGGGCUGCACGGAAAGCAGUGUCCCUUCAUAGAAUAUCCUGAUCUGAGUUAGAGCAAGCAAGGGAGGGGUAUUUGCAGAGAAGAAGUUGCAGAUUUCAGGAAUUUUGCUGAUGACUGUUCAUGAGUUCCAGAAGAUAAGUGGGGUGGGAGAUGACAUUCUUAUGGGGGGUUUCAGAGCUGUAUAAGGAGGAGCUGAGGGCCUGGGCUCAUGGAGGUCCCUGACAGGGUAGGGAUAAAGGACACAGGAGAAUAGUCUGGAUAGUUUCCAGAUGGUGGUAGUGACACUGUGGAUGCUGAGGAGCAGACAGGGGCAGGGAGAGUCUUGGCAGCAGCACAGUGAGUUCUAGGCCCUAUUUUCCCUUUUACUAAUGGGGAUAUAAAAGCUGGGAGUAGGGGAGUUGUAUCCCAGCACUUAAUCUUCCAGGCCUCAGUUUCCUCAUGGAAACAGUAAUCUAAGAGUUGGGAUACAAUGGAGACAUUGCUCUUUAAAGGAGUCUGGUGUAGACAAAAGUUAGUGUAUUUGUUCUCUUUCAGUCUUAAAAAACAAGGGGACAUCUUGGACACAAGGAAAAGUGUUUGCUUUCCCCAGACUUAGAAAGCUAUAGAAAAAAUUCCUGCACUCUAUUUAUUGCACAUGAUAAUGAGGAAGUGAAAAGCCCUUUACUGCCCUCCUUCCCUCGUGGUCUCUAUGCCUCAUCUGAGCAUAUGCACCAAGGCUGAGUGUACAGCAGCACUCGAGCUGAGAUGACUGAUUCCCUCCUCCAGCCUUCCCCCAGGCCAGCAGUUCCUAAAGUGUGGUCCUUGGACCUGCAGUAUCAGAGUCACCUGGGAACCUAUUAGAAAUGCAAGUUCUCUUGCUGCACUACAGUCCUAUGGAAUCAGAAUCUCUGGGGAAGGAGCCCAACAAUGUGCUUCAACAAGCCCUGCAGGCAAUUCUGAUACUUGUUCAAGGUUAAGAAUCACUGCUUUAGACACAACACACAUUUCGGUCAGACAGAAUAGCCUCCAGUUUUCCUGGUUUUUCAUACUCUUUUGUAUCCCUGGACUUUGAUGCUUGAAAAUCCUCCCCUGCAGUGGAUCUGCCUCCCACACACUUCUAGACCAGCUUGGUCAACACCUCCCCUGAGAGGCUCUUCCCAGCCAGGCUGAGGGAGACACGCUCUUCUCUGCAUGCAGAGAAAAAUUCCUACCGUCUUCUACUUGAGUAUUUAUUAUAUUGUUUCAUAACUGUUUACUUGAUCUCACUCCUGAAGACAUGGAUUUUAUCCUCCCACAUUUAACAUUUGAAAUGCCUAUUAUGUUUUAAGGCACUGGAGAAUAAGAACUUUUUUUAAAAAAAGAUUGAGAUCUUUAUUCUAAUAAAAAGGACCAGACAACUAAUAAUGUAAAUGAAUGUGUUUCAUUAGUUCUAACUCUGAAUGUGUCCUGAUCGAUGGCAUGCCAUGGUUUAACUGGCAGCGUGUUUUGCUUUUGUAAUAGUACAUAAAAUAAUGGUGUGGUUUACAAUAAUGUGGAACCUUAAAUUUGAUGAAAUGCAAGCUGUUAAGAAAGUGAUACGUUAUAAGGAGAAAAACAAAGCCUGGACGAAGGAUGGGUGGAGAGAGGGUAUCAUUUGAAACAGGAUGUCCAAGAAAGGCUUCACUGAGAGGGUCCCAUUUGAAGACAUACCUGAGUAAGGCAAGUGAGGAGUCCUAGGGAUAUGGAGGAGAGUAAGGAUGUGGGAAGAGCAUUCAAGGUAGAAGGAACAAUGAGGACAAAGGUCCAAGGGCAAGAAAAAUGGUGUGUGUCUUGUUGAUCUGUUUAUAACAGAGCUUAGAACAGUGUCUGAUAAAUACCCAUAAGUGUUUCUGCAACAGACCUCAGCCUUUGGUAACGUAGGGAUACUUUUAGAACAUAAUGAUUACAAUGUAUUUCCACUUCAUGCCCAUGCUGGCAUUACUGACUCCUGGAAAUAACAAAGCAAUGUGAUAGAGAAGUGUAAAUUCAGGAAAUACUGUUUUCCGUCUGUGGUGUUGCAGGCUUUAUGACAGGUGUUGGGGAUACAGAUAAAUAUGGUCCUUGCCCUCAAGGAGUUCUCAACUAGCAGGAAGCACAGAAAAAUAACCACAAUAUAAAGCUAUAAAGGUACAGUCACAGGUGUAUGAAAUGUAUUAUUGUAGCCACAUAAGAAGGAGUAAUAUCUGUGUUUAUUUAUACUCCUGUCAAACCCUAUUUCAAAUUUCAUUCUCUUGGAGGGAAGUAAUGAGCAGUCUUUUAGCAGUAAUUGGGUUGGACUAUUUGUCUGUGAGAAGUACAUCUACCAUAUGGUUUCUGAUCUUGAUAUUUUAUCAAAUCUCCAAUUGCCAAGGUACUUUAGAUUCCAGGUCACACGUCGGACAUUCUUAAGAAAUGGGACAUAAAACAUGGCCUAAAGGUUACAUAUUCUGCUACUAAUGUCAUUUUUUAAAUAAUAAUGCAUCAAAGCACUUGAAUGCUAGGACAAGAUGCCCAGCAAAUGCAACUUGCUACUCUGUUCCAACUUGUGACACUUACAAACCUGUAACAUGGAUUUCCGCCCUCAUUUUUUUUGUUCUUUUUGAGAUGGAGUUUCUCACUGUCGUCCAGGCUGGAGUGCAGUGGCAUGAUCUCUGCUCACUGCAGCCUCUCCCAGAUUCAAGCAAUUCUCCUGCCUCAGCCUUCUGAGUAACUGGGAUUACAGGCGUCCACCACCAUGCCUGGCUAAUUUUUUGUAUUUUUAGUAGAGACUAGGUUUCACUAUGUUGGCCAGGCUGGUCUUGAACUCCUAACCUCCUGAUCUGCCUGCCUUGGCCUUCCAAAGUGCUGGGAUUACAGGCAUGAGCCACCGCACCUGGCCUCCUCCAUCAUCUUUUAAAAGAUGUGGAAGGUGAGCUGAUUCCCAGCUGGCUUUAAGUGCAGCUGAGUCAAGUAAUCAAAGUCCUGUGGCCCUGAUUUCUCUCUCUUAGUACUGAUUUUCUCUAUGUUACUGGAAACUCUGUUUCCUCAUGGUGGAAGCUUAAGUUGUCACCUUCUGGCAGCUCCAGACCUUACAUCCUCUUAGCCAAGUCCUGAGAAGAACAAGAAUAUCUUUCCCACAAGCUCUGAGAAAUGCUUUAUCCUUCCUCAUAAGGUCAGAUAUUGAUCCCUAUACCAGUAAUCAGUGCAGAUUCAACAUCGCCAGAAUUCUAUGCAAUGAGAGUUGGGGAUAGUAUUUCCUUUGAGAGAAAUAGAGUAUGGGUAAAGGAAGUAGUAGUACAUACCUGCGGUGGGGCAAGAGCAAAACAGAUGUCUACUAAAUCUCCUAUCAAAACAUGAACUUGAUUGGUCAUCACACCAGUAAUGGAAUGGCCCCUGCCUCAUAGCUCCUGAAUGACUGACAUACUCCUGCCUCUUUUGUCCUGUCCUCACUUUUCUCAUACACCCAGCUUCAUAUGCUAUGGACUGAAUUGUGUCCCCUCAAAAUUAAUAUGUUGAAACCCUAAUCCCCAAAGUGAUGAGUACUUGAAGAUUGGGUUUUGGGGAGAUAAUUAGGUUUAGAUGAUGUCACAAGGGUGGGGCCAUGUGAGGACAUAUACAGAAGGCAACAUGUGGCUUAUUCAGCAAUCCAGGAAGAGAACCCUCAGCAGAACCUGACCAUGCUGGUACCCUGAGCUUGGACUUCCAGCCUCCAGAACAGAACGAUGAGAAAGAAAUCUCUGUUGUUUAAGCCACCCAGUCUAUGACAUUUUGUUAUGGCAACCCAAGCAGACUAGUACACCAUAGAAAGGCAAAAUUAUUUGGACAUUCUGGUUUACGCACGCUUCUGGAAAUUUGCAAGGGAACAGUGAAACUCAAUUCUACUUUUUGUUCUAGUUGAAGUAAUUGUUGAGACCUGCACUGUCUAAUACAGAAGCCUCCAGACACUUGUGGCACUUGAGCAUUUGAAAUAUAGCUAUUCCAUAUUAGAAACACCAGACUUCAAAGACUUAAUAAAAAAUGUAAAAUAGCUCAUGUAAACUAAAAGUCCUAAGCCCUCCUCCACCAACUGAAUGGACACCCUCUUGGCUAAGACCGACUGCAGAGAAACCUUAAAAACUAAGUUCCCGGCCACGUUGGGACAAGAGGUCAGAUACGCCUUCUUAUUUCCCUUCCCUUUUGUGGUUUAGGCACAAUAACUGACCAUAAUUAAUGUUAAAAUAGAGGUCAUAAGACUGACAGAAUGGACUCUUUGUGGUAAGAAAACACCAAAUUACAAACAGGACUUCCCAUGCCAGGCAAGAGUUAUCAUGCACCACCCCCCGCCCCCCCAACACACUUAAAGAAUAAACCAGGUUCUAAUUGCCAAGGUUUUUUCCUUUUCUCCUUGCAGCUAAACAAGCACUGGCCUCAAGAGAAGCAAUAUUAAAACAAUUUGCAGCUCACCACCAGCCGCUGACUAACGGCGCCCCCCUGUUCCAACAGCCAUAACUACAGCUUUGAUUGGACAAGAGGCUGAUUUCAGUUAACUUCCUCCUGAUGAGAAAACCACAGCCAUGGACUGAUUCUGGCCGGUUUACAGAGGCUGUGUACUUGGUUGCCUUUGUGUCCUAAAAAGGAGGUGUAGGGCCUAAUUGUAAUACAUGUAAAUGUUAAUUCUCCACCCCAAAGCACACAUGGUUAUAUGUUACCUGCAUGUUUGUUCAGUACACAUGCCUCAGGACCACCUUCAUGAGUAUUUGAAGCUCUUCGUAUAACCUGUUGACUAUGUAUGUUUGGCCAACCUGUUCAACUAAAAUUUCUGUCUAAUUCCUCUCUCCCUCAAAGUGCCUAUUUCUGGUCUUUGCUGGAAGCUACACUUCCCAGCUGGUAGGAUGGCCACUUGGCAGGCUGUAAACUUUUACAAGAAAUAAAGUCUCCUUUUCGAAAUGUAUAGAUCUUGUGAUUUUUCAGUUAACCCUCACUGCAUAUUUGUUCUUGAUUAGAUGUUGAGAAAAAUAUUUUGGAUAUAUUUGGUUAAUUAAAAUACAUUAUUAAAAUUAAU